rnacentral:lncRNA from 1 species
CGGUUUAGGCCCGAACACAACUCCACCACCGGGCCUUAACGGAGUUCGGUUCGACCCACGUCGAGCCCGACCCGUUUUCUUUUGCGGGUAGGGUUUAACACCGCCUCCCCGAACUUCAGCUCGGGUGAGAGUUGAAGCAGUGCCGCGCCGUUGGUUACGGAGGUCGGUGAUGAGUCCACGGUGGACGACGGCGCGUGCAGUGUCGAGAGGAGCGGAUUUUAGGUUGAGAGUUGUGGACCCCACUUCGGUACCCUCGAAGGACAGAAUUGGAAUUGUAGCGGCGUCGGAACGGAUGGAGAGUUGUUGUUGUUGUUUGGGUUUACAAAGGAGGUGCUUCGAAGAGUGGAAGGUGGUGCUAGAGUUAGUCUUAGAGAAGAAAAUGGUGGAAGACAAGAAGGAUAAGGAAGAGGAAGUUGCCAUUGUUGGAGUGAAGGAGCAAAGUGUAAAACUUUGGAUUGGGUAGUGAUGAAAUAUGUUGUUAUCCACAAGUGAGGUACAAGGCUAUCAAAGUGCAUUCAUAUUCUUUUUCUAAUAAAAUUUUAUAUUCCCUUUCUACCAAUUCAGACACAAUUUUUUUAAAAUAAAAUUUAUAUAUUAAGAAACUACAUUAAAGGAAAAAAAAAAAAAUUUAUAUAUUAAGAAACUACAUUGAAGGUAGUAUAAGUUACGAUUAUGGACAAUUCAAAAUAUUUAAAAGAUAUGUAAAAAUAAUUAUGAUAAAAAAUAGGUUUGUUUGAAUUGUGAAAUUCUAAAAACAGCGUAAAAUUGAAAUGAGGGAGUAGCUUAUAUUGAAUCUCGAAAAGGUCAAAGAUGUCCUUGAAGUAUUUUAAUUUAGUCUUAUGUGACAUCUAUGUUUCUUAAUUUUGAAUGUGUAUAACUAGACACUUAAAUAAUCAUAAAGUUAAAAGGCAAAAUACAUAUGCAGCCCUUUAAACUUGUUCGAUUUUUUUAUUGAAAUACCUAAACUAAAAAUUGUACCUAUUGAACAACUGGGACACAUGUUAAAGUGUGUUAAUUGAAUAUGUUUGUGCAAUAUUUCAUGAAAUCGAAGAGCGUUAUUUUCAAACGCCAUGACAUGGCAAGAAAGACGAGUCAGGAGCUAACACAUGGAAUUCUGUUUUUUUUUUUAAAGUCAUUCUUCACUAUCUUCUUCAUCUACCUUUUCUGCUCUUUUUUCUUCAGAAAAAAAAUUCGAUUUAUCUUCUUUUCUCGGUAUGUGCAAGUCUCGACGGAGAAAAGUGUGAUUUAUAUUUUAACUACUUUAUCAGAAUUUCUUAUAGCUAAGUUUCAUUAUGUUUUACAGAUGCUCUUUGUUCAGAAUUCUUAUAUCGGAAAAGGAACAAAUAUAUCUCUAAACUUUAAUAAAUAGUAUAAAUAUAUUCUCUGUCAUACUUUGAAUACAAAUAUAUUUUUAUCGUUAAUGAAAAGGUACAAAGAUACCCUCAAACUUUACUAAAUUGUACAAAUAUAUACCCUCUGUCAUAUUUUGGAUAUAUUUUAUACCCUUUUCAUUAAUGAAAAGGUACAAAUAUACUCUUUUUAUUAACGACGGGACACGUAUCAAUAUCGUAUUAGUUAAUCCUUUUUAAUUUAUUUUAUCUGUGAAUAAUUUAAUCUAUCCUAAAUUAUAAUUCAUACCCGAUCAAAUAACCUGACCUAACCCGUGUAAUAGAGAAACUUCGAGAGACAUAUCACGCGUCUCUAUUCAUGCGUGUUUCUUUCUUCCACUCUCUCACACUCACACUCUCUCACUAACCCAAAAAAUCUUAACAAACGCAUCGAUUCAAUUCAUGUUUCGAUCCAUCUACCAUCUAGAAUCAAGUAGAGAUUUGUUUAAAAUCGUAAUGUUGUUUAAUUUUUUUAUGUUAGAAUAAUAUGCUGAUGCUGUUUAAUGUUCCUCAUGAACGACUGUUGUUUGUUUUUACUAAUUCAUAACCAUCAAUGAAUCAGAAAUUGUUUCUGAUUCGUGACCGUUAUUACCUGCUUUAAAUUCAUUGUUACACCAUUGUUCAUCAACUUCAAAGAGUGAACAAGAAGACAACAUUUUAAGAACAGAAACAUGAGAAAAAAUUGCAAAGUUUGGACAUUCGUCGACCAAAUCAAAGUCCUCACUAUAUCACAGGUCGGGUCGGAUUAUUUGGAUCGGGUGUAGUUAUAAUUUAGGAUGGAUUAAACUAUUCAAAGAUAAAAUAAAUUAAAAAGUGUCAACUAAUACUAUGCUGACACAUGUCCCGUCGUUAAUGAGAAUGAUAUAUUUGUACCUUUUUUAUUUAUGACAAGGGUAUAUUUGUAUCCAAAGUACGAUAGAGGGUAUAUUUAUACCAUUUAUUAAAGUUUGAGGGUGUAUUUGUAUAUUUUCAUUAACAAUAAGGGUAUAUUUGUACUCGAAGUAUGACAGAGGGUAUAUUGUAUCAUUUAUUAAAGUUCAGGGGUGUAUUUGUAUCUUUUCCGUUCUUAUAUUAUAGAGAAAAGGUAAUUGGGUAUGUAAAAUUCAUUAAAGGCCAAACACAUUGACAUGCCCCUCAACUUGGCGUCAUCUUUCACUUUGGCACCUCAAAUGGAUGUUGUUCACUUUGGCACCUCAAGUAGCAUACUGAUGUGUCUUUUUGACACUUUUUGCUGAGUAUCAUGAAAAGUGUAACACAGGCAUUUUAAGCGCGUUUCAAGGAUAUUUUCGUAAUUUUCUCAUCUUUCUUCUCUUUCUUCCUCACUCUUUCAAUCCAUUAAUUUGCCAUCAUUUUUUUUCUUUUCUUAACACAUCUGUAUCCCUUCAUUCGAAUUAACAUAGAAAGCUUUCAUAUACAUGCGCACAUUAUUGCCAUUACGUCACUUUUUGUCACCCACUUUCCUCUCCCUUUAAUUUGUAUGUCCCUUCCUUGAUCACUAUUCACUCUUGAGCAACAACAAAUCAAUCAUUUAGUUGAAGGAAAUAUAUUGAACAUUAUGUUCGGGAGGGAUCCAUGGGGAGGAGCAUUAGAGAUAAAUGCAAUAGAUUCAGCAACAGAUGAUGAUAGGACCAAAUUGUUGUAAGAAAUUCCUCAUCAUGUGAUUCUGAAGAACACAACAACUACAAUGACAAAGACACAAUAAAAUCACUAAAUAUGAGAAGAGGGAUACCAUACAAGGCAAUAAGAAAGAUACUUUACCCUCUCUUAAUUUCUUUUCCUUCACAUUGCAAUUUGUUACCUUCAACGAUAAUUUGAUCAAAAAUUGUUGUCAAUUUGGACGGAGAAUGAAAAAUUAUUGUCGAUUUGAUCGUACUGUUGCAGCGGAGAUAUGGGUUUGACCAUCAAAUUGUCGCACUUAUCAAUUUGUUGUGAAUUUGGUGUUAAUUUGGUCGGAUUAUUACAGCGGUUGGAGGAGGGGUUUGUGGAUUGGAGAAGACAAUAUGGAGGGGGUGGUGGGUAGGGUAGGAGAAGUUGGGGUGGCGGUAAAUGACAGGGGUGGGGUGGGGUNNNNNNNNNNNNNNNNGGUGGGUAAGAAGUUGAUAUAAGGUGGGGGUGGGGUUAUUAAUAUUUUUCUAAUUUAAAUUAAUUAUAUAAAAAUUAUUUUUACAAAAAAAUGACAAGUGUUCUUUUAUAAUUGAUCCCUUUCUGUGUCAUCAACUCGUAUAAUAUAUGCACACGAUAUAUUUUUGCUGAUCAACAAAAAAUGUCAAAAUGACACAUCAAUAUGGUACUUGAGGUGCCAAAGUGAAAGAUGGUAUCAAAUUGAGGGGCCUGUCGACAGUGGCAGAGCUACAUAUAAGGUAGGGGGUUCAUCCGAAUCCCCUUCGACGGAAAAUUGUACUAUAUAUACAUGGUUAAAAUUAUUUUUUAUGUAUAUAUAGUAGAUGUCGAACUUCCUUCGGUUAGUUCAUAUGUUCACUUGUGAACCUCCUUGGUGUCAAUCUUGGCUCCGCCACUGCCUAUCGAUGUGUUUGGCCAUUAUUAAAACUGAGCCAGUGAAAAAGAUUCAUUUUUUUUAUUUACUAUUGACCUUGUUUGAUAAGUUCUACUACAAAUUCUAAUAUAUGAUUGGGAAAAAAUUCAAAUAUGCCAUCGAACUAUCAGAAAUGACUCAUUUAUGUCAUCCGUUAAAAGUUUGGCUCAUUUAUGUCAUCGUCGUUACAAAACAGGUUCAUCUAUGCCAUUACUUGUUAACAGUGGUUUUCAAAAAUAGUUUUGCCACAUGUCGUCUUACUAGAGGCCCACAUCAUUAAUUAAAAUAAAGAGAAAAGACUCAAAUAUGCCAUCGAAUUAUCAGAAAUGACUCAUUUAUACCAUUCAUUAAAAAUUUGGCUCGUUUAUGCCAUUGUCGUUACAAAACAGGUUCAUACAUGCCUGUGCUUGUUAAUGGUAGUUUUUCAAAAAUAGAUUUGCCAUGUGUUAUCUUACUAGAGUUUCACGUCAUUAAUUAAAAAAAAAUAGUAAGAAUUGAUUUAUUUUCUCUUACAUUUUGUUCAUACUAGUCAGUGCCUUGAAUCUGUAAGGAAGAUCACCCGUCAUAUCAUUGAAUGAAAAACCCAAGAAGUAUAAAUAUUAAUCGAUCAAAAUGUAUGCAACAGAAAAUGAUUAACUAGUCAUUUGGAGGUUUGUAAGGCUUGGCAAAAGAAUAUUUUAGGACUCACUUGUUUUUUUACAAUUAUAGGAGUUUGGCCUAAGAACAUCUCGAAAUAUAUUCAGUUGUUUAGUUAACUUAAUUGGGACAAUCACAUAAUUUUAAUUAGUGACGUGGACCUCCAGUAAGAUGACGCGGGGCAAAGCUGUUUUUGAAAAACCACCGUUAAUAAAAAAUGAAAUGAAUGAACCUGUUUUAUAACGACGAUGAUAUAAAUGAGAUAAACUUUUAACGGAUGACAUAAAUGAGCCAUUUCGAUAGUUUGAUGGCAUAUUUGAGUCUUUUUCCAUUAUUUUAAUUAAUGAAACGACAUGUGGCAAAACUAUUUUUGAAAAAACCAUCGUUAAAAAGUAAUGGCAUGGAUGAACCUGUUUUAUAAUGGCGAUGACAUAUGAGUCAAAUUUUUAACGGAUGGCAUAAAUGAGCCAUUUGUGAUAGUUCGAUGGCAUAUUUAAGCCUUUUUCCUAUAUGAUUUAAUAAUUUCUUCACUUGGAGUUAAAAAAAACCCUCAAAUAUGCAUUAUUUUUGACGAAAAAAUCUGGUGAUGGCUCAAAAUGAUGCUAGUUCGCGGUAGUCUUCAUGGUCGGUGGUCUUAUAGUUUUCUUUGUGGUUCAUAAAUAGUUAAAUAGAUUAGAAAUAAUGUUUAGAGAAGAUGAUGGAGAUAGGAAAAAUAAAAUUUUGCUCUUUCAUGCUCUUAAAAGUGUGUAUUACACACAUCUGCCAUGCCAACAAUUUGUGUUUAAAAGACACAAUUUUGUAUAUGUUUAAGUGUUUAACAGGUACAAUCUUUAGUUUAGGUGUCUGAAUGAAAAAAAUUAAAUAAGUUUAAAGAGCCUCAUAUAUAUUCCAUCUAAAGUUUAACUAAACUCAUGUGUCUUGCGUGCCCAAUCACGUGAGAUAUGACAUGUAGGAAGCAUCUGUUUAGUUAUUCAAUUUUAUGAUAGUUUAAUAAUUUACUUAUGCACACUCAAAAUUAAAAUACAUAAAUAUUAACAUUAAUUAGUGUAAUUGAAUCACACGUUUAGCUACUAUGCCUUAUGCCUAUUUGAAACUGGUGUAUGGACAUGUGCGUAAACCCCUAGCCAGAAAGUAAAAAAGAAUAAAUUAAAGUUUAUAUCAAAAAUAGUAAAAUACAUAUUUGAGUUAUUUAAUAAAAACUAACUAGAAAAGCAUAAAUUGUUGAAAAUGGUAAGAGUAGGGUGGGCAUGGUAUGGUAUUUGAAAAUUCGAUAAAGUAAUUUUGGUAUUUAAUUUUUAAAAACACUAUAUCAUUAUCAUACGAUAUUAACUUGAUAUGGUUCAGUAUUUUGAUAUUCAAUUUUAAUAUUUUGCUGUAGGGUUAUCGGUAAUCGCAGUUUGUUCCACUUUGUCAAUAUAUACUCGCAUGGGGCGGAUCUACAUGUAGUUUAAAUGAAUUUCCUUCGUCGGAAAAUUACACUGUAUAUGUUGAAUCAAAAUUUUAAUUUACGAUAUAUAUAUGUUAAGUAUUGAAUCCCCUAGACACAAGGCUUUGGUUCAGUGGUGAAGGGGUGCAAAAGUUUUCAAUUUGUGUGAGUUUGAGCUUGGAUAACACCAUUUUUUUUCAAUCUUUUAUAUUAACUUUUGAAUUAAAUAAAUUCCCUUUUAUUUUCUCUUCUCUCUCACUUGUCCUAUCUCCCUUUUGUUUUCUCUUCUCUCGCUUUCAUGGUUACUAAUUUGAUGGUUAACUUCUUUUUCUAUAUUUUUCAUAAAAUUAUGCUACAUACUUUUGUUUGUUGAUUAUUAUCUAUUUUGACUGAUUUAAAAUGGCUUACAUCUUUUCUCCUUAUAAUUAAGGAAAAAUUAGUAUUAGUUUUAUCAUGAUAAUGUAUAAAUAACUUAAACGUAAAGUACAAUUCUGGUAACUUAUUGCACUUUUUAUGUAGUUUCUAAAUAUGUAAUUAUUUUUAAAAGAUUUAAAGAUUGUACGUCUGAACACACGAUCAAAAUAAAGAUAUUUAACUUCCCCGUUUUAUUGUUCAUGUUCAUGAGGUAGCUAGAGUUAAACUUUGUCAAGCUCGCUCAAAUCAAAUUUGACCCGCUUAAUCUGAUCCGAUUUGCUUAUUUUUGAGGUCCUGUUAAAGUGCUUAGUUUUUUUUUAACCCCCUUAAUAGAAAUUCUGGCUCCGCCAUUGUAUACUCGAACAAUAAAGUAUUAUUAUUUUGACUUUUCAAAAGCACGUCUCAAUUGUAUUUUAAUUAUAUAUUACACAUGUAGAAAUAUUAAAAAAGAAGUACAAACAACUCCUUUUGUUAGUCAAUUAAAAAAUAUAUUACAAUCAAGAUAGAGUAUCCAAAGCUCCAAUGCCUCAACAUUUUUAUACUAAUACUAAAUUGUAUAUUUGUUAAAAUUAUAAUAAUACCAAAAUUUUGAUGUCAAAAAUUUGGAUUUGAUAUGAUAAUUUGAUAUAUAUCAUACCAUGUCCACCCCUAGGUAAGAUUUUAAUCCUCUUUAACUAAUUCAAUAACAUAAGAAGUCAUAUCGUGAAUUUUAAACCACACCUUCUCGACAUAAUUAUGUUAUCUGCAAUUACACAAAUUAUUAUUAUUUCAUACAAUCCCAUCAUCAUGAUUUGGUAGUGCUUGAUCUUUAGCAACAAAGGUAACGCUGACUUUUGAAGUUAAUUGCCUUAAACUAGUACAAUUUAUAGUAAUAAUCAAUUAAAAUAAUUUUUUUUAAAAAGAGAAAGUAAAUAAGAAUUAACUUUAGAUAUAACGGUUUUAAUGCAGUGCCCAUCAAUAAUUUUUGGGAUAUGAUCGUCUUUCAACUUCAAAUUUAUGAUAUUUCCCCCAUUAAUACAGUACAAGUAGUAUACGAAAAUGAAGUAGCAUAUACACAUUCUACUUUGGAGCACCAACAUAUGUGAAUUCAGAUACAGCUAAAACAAAGACUGAUUUAAAAGAAAUAGGGAUGCAACACAUCGGUCCUCAGCUAUACAGACAAACAAUCAUAUAUCCUUUUGACAUACACCUACUGUCCUCAGCUUGAAUUCUAUACACACGGAGAUAAUGAAUUGAUCUCUCAUGUACAAAUCCUUGGUGUACUCAACUUAGACCUGAAAUUUACAUCAGAAAAAGAGACAUAUUUUACAUACAUACAUAUCCGAUAUACAUAUACACACACAAAUAUACAUGCAGACAAUUAGGUAGAAAACUGGAGAGAAAAUUAGGUAGAGACUCUAAGUCUCUUUAACUAUUUCUAUCUACCAAUUAAACUGUAUGUAGUUUGAACAUCACAAGCAGCCUCAUCUGCACUUUUGUUCUUCCAUGUGCAUAUUUCAAUUACGUCUUUCAUGAUUCUUAGAUCCUUGGUAGCACUGCUCCAUUGAUAUAUAGCAGCAUCCCUUCCUCUCGCAUGCACCCGGUCUAGUAUCUCUUAGGUCGAUAUCCAGUAGCUCUAGUAGCAGCAGAGGAAGAAGAUCGGUAGUAGAAGGUAACGAACUAGAGACUCAGUGAGAGAUCGGAAG